rnacentral:rRNA from 1 species
CAAGCGUUAUUCGGAUUCACUGGGCGUAAAGGGUGCGCAGGCGGUCGGGUGUGUCAGAUGUGAAAUCCCGAGGCUCAACCUCGGAACUGCGUCUGAAACUACUCGACUAGAGUACUGGAGAGGGUAACGGAAUUCACGGUGUAGCAGUGAAAUGCGUAGAUAUCGUGAGGAACACCAGAGGCGAAGGCGGUUACCUGGACAGUUACUGACGCUCAGGCACGAAAGCAUGGGGAGCAAAAGGG